rnacentral:rRNA from 1 species
UCAGGUGACUAUAGCAUCAGGGUUCCACCUCUUCCCAUUCCGAACAGAGAAGUUAAGCCUGAUCACGCCGAUGGUACUGCGUAA